GCUGCAAACCGUGCUAUCGCUUCAGCGCUUCCAGUUGAGGAGGAAAGUCCGGACAGUACAGAGCAAUGCACCCCGUGAUAAGCGGGGGUACUUCAACCAAUGCUGAAAAGUAAGUUGAAGUAACAGAUAGUGCCACAGAAAAUAACUACUUCGCUUCGGCGGAGAAAAGAUGAAAAUGUGGGGUAAGAGCCCACGGCUUUUGAUCGUGACAUCAUUUGCGGGUAAACCUUGCAUGCUGAAAUGCCACAUAUAGUAUCGUUUGAGGGCUGCUCGUCCAAGAUACAGGGUAGGCAGAUUGAUCCCGGUGAGUAAUUACCGGGACAGAUAAAUGAUAGCGGUCCCGAUUUAUCGGGAUAACAGGAUCCGGCUUACAAGUUUGCAGCGUUU
rnacentral:RNase_P_RNA from 1 species